UGGUGUGACACUGCCACGGCAGGGCGGUAUUCUUUUUGGCCCUGGCAACUUCCCAUUGCCGUCUAGAAUUAGAAUUUCCAAGGGACAAAAACACAAACAGUUGGUGCCCCUGAAAUCAGAGCCCCUUCAAGCUAUAUAAAUGUUCGUAUAGGGUGUUGUCCUAUUUGGCUCGUAUGUUUGCGGGAAAAUCACUUCUAUUUACGGGCAGGCUCCAAGACUUGGGCAGGAUCGUCGGCUUGGACAAGCUCCAGCCUCGCCCCAAGCACGCCAAACCCCUUUUGAGAACCCGGGUCCGAGUGGAGUCGGAUCAACCGAGGGCCAAGAUGGAGCGCUCGGAGGAAGGGGGCAGCCGCCCGUCGGGCCAGCGCCGUCUACCGCUGGCGGAGGUGGUUUCCGACUGCGUGAAGCGGUGGUUCCAGGACACGCUCAAGGAGGCCAAAGCCGGCGACGCCGCCAUGCAGGUCUUGAUCGGUCAGAUGUACUGUAGUGGCUAUGGCGUCGCCAGAGAUCCCCAGAAGGGGCGUGCUUGGAUUAACAGGGCUUCAAGGAGUCGAUCCUCAGCAUGGGAAGUCGGUGACAAGCCUCCAGGUUACAACGCAAGUGAUUCAGAUUCAGAUGAUAUGAAGGGGGACGCUAAAUAAUUGUAGAUGCUGUUUUUGGUCAACAUUGAAAAUGCCAAAAUAUGACUCUAAAAGUCCCCAUGGCUCCAGCUGAUCUCCUGGAGUAUACUUAAGUGCCUUGUGAUCUAAGUCCCUCACCCAUUCUUGAAGAGGAAGACAUUGUCUGGGAAUCAGUUCUGAUCAGCUAUUCAUUGAUACCGUUUCUCAAGAUUAUGGUACUUCUUGUUGGAUGCUUAAAGGUCACCUUGGGCUUUGCCAAUCGAAAGAAUGGUCAUCCAUGGUGUCUCAGGCCCAGCUGAAUUUUCUCCUGUUUUUGUUGUCUCCUUCCAGCGUGUUUAUCUCCUUACCCCUUCAAAAGGUCCUUGGUAUGUUUACUAGAAUCAUUUCAUUGUUUAAAUUCUGUUGUGUCUUUGCUGCCAACUGAGAUUUUUGGGUCACUGAUAGAAUCUUCUAUCAGGCAGUAAACUGCUGCGUUUGAACGAACAGCUUCGUCCUUGGUGUAACCUAGAAUCUGUAACAUGGUAACAUUGAUGAUAUGCUUCACCCAAGAAAAAAAAUGCUUCAAUAUCA